UGGAAAAGGCGUGAACGGGGUCAGGAGUCAGGACAUUCAGGAGACCACAAGGCUGCAGAAACUUGCUGUCGUUCACGAAGAGGAUACUGAUGGCCGUGAUGUUAAUGGCAAUGGGAGCCGCUGUUUCAUACUAUGGUUAUAAGGGACUCUUGUGGCUUUCUGAUUGGAUGAAAGAAGUCGAAGAACAAAGACAAAAGUCUAGAAGAUACCCGCGAAUCUAACUGGUUUCGAGAGUUGUUACUUCUCAAGCUUUUUUAGCCUGAUACUGGGCAGUGACAACACAGUUAGCUUCGAGACAUUUGGUCUUUCUUUUUGGUUUAGUCGAUGAUAGUCACCAAAUAUAUUUCAAAGGGGAGAUUAGAAAGAUAAUCAAUUUGUUUGUUUUAUUGAUUUGUGCUCUUGCUUUUAGCUCUUUUUGAUAUUUCGAGACAGCAAAAAAUGUUGUACUUGUUCUUCUUUUUUCUUGCAUCUCUUGUUUCUUCUUCUUGCUUGUUUUACCAGAUGUUGAUCAAUUCUCACUCUGUACAUUAUGUUUGUUGUGUUGUUA